GCCGCAAUGGUGGAAUUGGUAGACACGAGGGACUUAAAAUCCCUUGGCCAGAAAUGGUCGUGCGGGUUCGAGUCCCGCUCGCGGCA
rnacentral:tRNA from 1 species